UACGAGGGGGCGAGCGUUGUUCGGAAUUAUUGGGCGUAAAGGGUGCGUAGGCGGUUUUGGUAAGUCUGAUGUGAAAUCUAGUGGGCUCAACUCAUAGUCUGCAUCGGAAACUGCCGGGCUUGAGUGUGGGAGAGGUGAGUGGAAUUCCUGGUGUAGCGGUGAAAUGCGUAGAUAUCGGGAGGAACACCUGUGGCGAAAGCGGCUCACUGGACCGCAACGUGACGCUGAGGCGCGAAAGCUAAGGGGAGCAACAGGG
rnacentral:rRNA from 1 species